GAUGAAGAACGCAGCGAAAUGCGAUACGUAAUGUGAAUUGCAGAAUUCAGUGAAUCAUCGAGUCUUUGAACGCACAUUGCGCCCCCUGGUAUUCCGGGGGGCAUGCCUGUCCGAGCGUCAUUGCUGCCCUCAAGCACGGCUUGUGUGUUGGGCCUCCGUCCUCCUCCCGGGGGACGGGCCCGAAAGGCAGCGGCGGCACCGCGUCCGGUCCUCGAGCGUAUGGGGCUUCGUCACCCGCUCUUGUAGGCCCGGCCGGCGCUUGCCGACACAUCAAUCUUUUUUCCAGGUUGACCUCGGAUCAGGUAGGGAUACCCGAUGAACUUAAGCAUAUCAAUAAGCGGAGGA
rnacentral:misc_RNA from 1 species